rnacentral:rRNA from 1 species
GGAGGCAUAAUAUCUUUUUUGGAUGAUUGGCGAUAGAUCAUUCAAGUUUCUGACCUAUCAGCUUUCGACGGUAGUGUAUUGGACUACCGUGGCAGUGACGGGUAACGGGGAAUUAGGGUUCGAUUCCGGAGAGGGAGCCUGAGAAACGGCUACCACAUCUAAGGAAGGCAGCAGGCGCGCAAAUUACCCAAUCCUGACUCAGGGAGGUAGUGACAAGAAAUAACAACACUGGAAAUUUGAUUUCUAGUGAUUGGAAUGAUGGGAAUCCAAACCCCUUUCAGAGUAACAAUUGGAGGGCAAGUCUGGUGCCAGCAGCCGCGGUAAUUCCAGCUCCAAUAGCGUAUAUUAAAGUUGUUGCAGUUAAAAAGCUCGUAGUUGGAUGUCUGUUGGAAGCAAUCAUCAGUCCGCCCUAUUUCAUUAGGGUGUGAACAUGAUGAGUUCCGGCAUAAUUGUCUCGUCUAAUUGUUAAUAAUAACGACUAUUAGAUUCAUUUCUAGUAGUUUGUGGUUAUUAAUAAUAGAGGGGGGAAAUGUUACUUUGAGAAAAUUAGAGUGUUUGAAGCAGGCUUUUGUUGCCUUGAAUACUGCAGCAUGGAAUAACAAUAUAGGAUUUCGGUUCUAUUUUGUUGGUUCUUUUAGGACUGAAAUAAUGAUUAAUAGGGACAGUUGGGGGCAUUCGUAUUUAACUGUCAGAGGUGAAAUUCUUAGAUUUGUUAAAGACGAACUACUGCGAAAGCAUUUGCCAAAGAUGUUUUCAUUAAUCAAGAACGAAAGUUAGGGGCUCGAAGACGAUCAGAUACCGUCGUAGUCUUAACCAUAAACUAUGCCGACUAGAGAUAGGAAACUGUCAUUAUUUUUGACUUCUCCUGCACCUAUGGGAGAAAAAUCAAA